UCUCUCUCUCUCUCUCUCACACACACACAUACAAAUACACACAGAGAGACGUAGGGUGCUCACGUACAAAACUCGAAGGGAAGAUUAAAUUGCAAACAAGUUUACGGAAAUCUUUUCUUUUCUUUCUGUUUCUUUUUGUUUCUUCACUUUUUAGUUUCAUUUCUUUUUUCUCGUUUAGCUUAUCCUCAAAAUAACGCUCCGAGUGUUUCGUAUUAUUUCAAUGAAUAAUUUUCUUAAUAAGAAUACAGAAUAUUAUUUUAACGAACGUUUCUACCUGCCAAGCAACAACUUUUUCUUCUUUUUUUUUUUUUUAUUGGCCACUCCCUUCUCACGACUUUUCACCAAUGCAACAACGGUCCCGUCAUAUUCUGUUGCUCGUUGACAAGCGUGUAAAGCCGAGAGCGGUCUCGUGUCGUCUGGCAGGAGAUAAAUAUACUUUUUCUUUGAGAGGAAAAAACAUAUAUAGACACAAACACACACAUAUAUAUGUAUAUAUAACAAAAGAAUCCUUCGUCUCGAUGAUUUUAAAAUACGACCACUUGCUCCGACCACUUCGGAAUGUUAGAGGACGUUUUUAGUUUGUUGAAAAAGAAAAGAUUGUGAUUUUAGGACACGCAUACAAUGUUUUAUAUGAAAUAAAACAUAAGUAUAAAAAAGUCAAUAUAACAAGUACAUUAUUUCGGUAUACCAUCAGAAACGAAGAGAGAGAAAGAGACAGGGAGUAACGUGGUAAUAAAACCGUAGUAAAGAAAGUUUACUCGGCUAAACGUGUUUGCUAAGAGUGCUCCCAAGGGUGAGAUAAAUGAAAUUUCUCGCGAAAAAGCUUAUCGUUAAUACAUAUACGCACACACGUAGAGAAAGAGACAUACGUACUAUACCAACGUUCUCUUUCGAACGUUAAUUCGCACUUCGCUUACAGGUAUCACCCAGUGGAUGAUGGUCUACGUCGAGUGGCGUGUUUCUGAUCAAAGAUACAACAAGCUUUAGCUCGAGUGUCCCGAGCUACAACAAGGAUGGAUCUUGAAUUGCUAUUUGCUCCAUAAGAGACAAUCAUCGUCACUAUAUACACGUAUUUUCAUCGUUCAUGCGUUAACAUAAUAACGAGAUCAUUAAAUGAUCAACGUUUUGUUGUUACAAAUAAUAACACAGAUCAUUAAAUGAUAAUGAAAUGAA